rnacentral:lncRNA from 1 species
GGCCCUAAGUUCUGUGAUAGUAGUCCGUGUUCAAUCGAUACGUCAUUAAUUAUUCUGAGGUUGAUCCUGGGCAUAUCUACUAUCGAUCAGCCAAAGAUAUCUAAAUUUUCCUUUUUGGAGGGGACCGGUGCCUUGGCGACUGGUGGUGUUGGCAUUGAGGACUUCUAGGCCGUUGGUCCCGAGGAGGGGUUCUAGGCCUUUGACAUCAAGGUGGAGUUCUAGAUCGCCGCCAAUCUCUCAGGGGAUCUUAAUGAAUUGGAGGAGCUUGAAACUUGGC